CAUUAAAACUAAAGAAAAAUUAGAAACCAAAAUUUUUUCUCUGUUCAAAAUGAAAUUAGAAACAAGAAUUCUAAAACAACUAACAUUAAAGAAUAAAACUUAUUCUGUCAGUUGAGAAAAUAAAGUAUAACAACCAAAAAAAAUCCUAUUGGCUGAUUCGGAAGCACGGGGAUCAAGCUUUUCACCGUCGGAUGAGACUGGAUCCGAUGGACCAAAGCUGUUCCUUUUCUUCAGAUCUUCAUACAUAAGCUUUCUUCACUGCUGGCCUCAACAUCUCCUCUCUUCUCUUUCGUUAGAAGAUCUCUGCUCCAUGUCUCUCCACCCUCGCAAAAUCUCUGCCUUCAUCUUUCUCCAUCUUCUCUACCGCCUCAGUUAAUGGUGGUCUAUUAUAAGUUUGACUUCCAUCAUCUCUCUUCUGCGUGGCACUGAUUUUGGUGCAUGCUGAAUGAGUGGUCUCUCUGUCUUUUGAUGAAUCCUCUUCCUCCAUUUGAUAUCACGCUCGCCGUCUCCCCACCACUCUACCACGGAAGGUGAGGAUGCAGAAGAAGCUUGAUGGGGGAGGAGACAAGACCAGCCGUGGUCGUAGUGGCUACUGUGUGGCGGAGGCAAGGCGAGGCAGGCAUGGCCGCUUAUUUUUUAGGGUUGAUUUUUUUUAUCAUUUGGUUUAGUUUUUUUUUUAUCAUUUGGUUUAGUUAUCUAAACCGAAUUUUAUUUUAAACCAAUUUCAUUUUGUAAACCGAUUUAUAUUUAUUUCGAUUUAUAGAUAGUAACCAAUUGAAACUGA